rnacentral:rRNA from 1 species
AUACGGAGGUUGCAAGCGUUACUCGGAAUCACUGGGCGUAAAGCGCGCGCAGGCGGUCUUUUAAGUUGGAUGUGAAAGCCUACGGCUCAACCGUAGAACUGCAUCCAAAACUAUUAGACUAGAGUGUGGGAGAGGAAGAUGGAAUUAGUUGUGUAGGGGGAAAAUCCGUAGAGAUAACUAGGAAUACCAAAAGCGAAGGCAAUCUUCUGGAACACUACUGACGCUGAGGCGCGAAAGCGUGGGGAGCAAACAGGAUUAGAAACCCCGGUAGUCC